GAUGAACGCUAGCUACAGGCUUAACACAUGCAAGUCGAGGGGUAACGAGAGGAAAGCUUGCUUUCCUUGUCGACGACCGGCGCACGGGUGAGUAACGCGUAUCCAACCUGCCCCCAACUAGGGAAUAACCUUGCGAAAGUAAGACUAAUACCCUAUAAUUUCCUCAGAUGUCAUCUGACGAGGAAUAAAGAUUUAUCGGUUGUGGAUGGGGAUGCGUCUGAUUAGCUUGUUGGUGGGGUAACGGCCCACCAAGGCAACGAUCAGUAGGGGUUCUGAGAGGAAGGUCCCCCACAUUGGAACUGAGACACGGUCCAAACUCCUACGGGAGGCGGCAGUGAGGAAUAUUGGUCAAUGGGCGGAAGCCUGAACCAGCCAAGUAGCGUGCAGGAUGACGGCCCUAUGGGUUGUAAACUGCUUUUAUACAGGAAUAAAGUUAGCCACGUGUGGUUAUUUGUAGGUACUGUAUGAAUAAGGACCGGCUAAUUCCGUGCCAGCAGCCGCAGUAA
rnacentral:rRNA from 1 species